rnacentral:lncRNA from 1 species
CUGACCAGACAAGGGCAUUGUCCCCACUCAGAAAUGCUCCAAAAGAACUAAGGAGAAGGAUUAGAGGAGACAAAAUGUUUUUGCUAAAUUCUUGCACUGAAGCCAGAGUUGCUCAGGAAAUAACAGCUCAGUUUGUUAGCUCUGAUCUCUAAUUCCAUCCCAAAUUCAUAACGUUAUUUUUUUUGUUUGUUUCCAUUGUUCAUUUGUUGUGUGCCUCUUAGGAUGUCCCUUUCCAUCUGGGCCUCAAUGACCUUCCCUGGGAAAUGGGGUACUUGUACUUAACCAUACCCCUGCUUCUAAAGACAAACUGGGAAAAUUAAAUGGAAAUUCUAAAAGAAAGCUUCAUCUUUUAGUUCCUUAGAGAACUAGCAUUACAGUUGAUUACCUAGGUGAUGAUUCAAGCUAUUCAACCCUUGUCAUUCUGAAUGUACUUCUCUUCCAGCUUGCCUUGGAAAGAAAAUCAGCCAGUUAAAGAAAGCAUCAGCUGGAACUCUCUCAGCUCUCAGUGACUGCAGAGUGAACUAUGGCAUUCAGCAUAGAAAAUGUUCUUCCAGUGCUCCAAUAAAUAGCAUUCAGUUUUUAGCCCCAGGGAAUUCAGUGUAGCCCUGGUUACUCCUCACUGCCACAGCCAACACUGCUUCCUUGGGUAGGAGAAAUGAUUUAUGGAGAUGAGCUGAACAACAGCCAAUCAACCACCCCCACAGAAACCAUGGAAAUGCACAGGCCACCCUUGGACCAUGACAUACAGGGCAUCUGACUGAUAGUCCCACCAAGACUGCCUAUGAUCAUUUUACUCCUGCAGAGAAAGAUGUGCCUAAAAGAGAAGCAGCACCUACCUGGAAGACUCAGGAGACAAAGAGGGAAAGAAAUGAAUCCCCAAGAUUUCCUGGGCUGAGCCUAACAGGAUAUGAGAAGCAGAAACUUCUGGAUUGUGAGAAGAAACAAAGGAAGAAGAGAGAUGCUCUAUAGGAGAAAAAUCACAGACAAUAAGUGGGGAGAGCAAGAAGACAAAGUUUUGUUACUUUAAUUCACCACUCCUAUCCCCAGCCACCAGUGGCCAUCCUGUACUGGAUUCUAAACCCAGGGCCCUAA